rnacentral:rRNA from 1 species
UACGUAGGGUGCAAGCGUUGUCCGGAAUUAUUGGGCGUAAAGAGCUCGUAGGCGGUUUGUUGCGUCGGCUGUGAAAUCCCGAGGCUCAACCUCGGGUCUGCAGUCGAUACGAGCAAACUAGAGUGUUGCAGGGGAGACUGGAAUUCCUGGUGUAGCGGUGAAAUGCGCAGAUAUCAGGAGGAACACCGGUGGCGAAGGCGGGGUCUCUGGGCCGAAACUGACGCUGGAGGAAGCGAAAGCGUCGGGGAGCAAACAGG